CUCGUUCUAAUGACGUCAUACUCUUCACCCUAAAAGCCAAGAUGGAAGAAUGCAACCAUCACCUUCACAUCUGUCUGGAUGCCAAGUUCUUUUGAUAGGAGACUCAAUUGUGCGACACGCUGUUUUUAAUGGACCCUUUUCUUCUGAAACUUUGUGCUUUCCAGGGGCUAAUGUUACAUCGUUAAGAUCAUCAUUCGUCAAAUCUUUCAGAAUUACUUCGACUUUUCUACAAAGGCUGUUUUCAUCCAUAUAGGAACAAACAAUUUAGAACAUAGUGUUUGGGAAAAGGAUUCCAAAGCAUUUCAUAAUUUGUAUAUUAGUGUUAGAGAGCAAUUUCGGUGUGCAAAGAUUAUUAACUGUUUGGGAUAAAGUACAGAUUCCCAUAUACUAUUAUCCAGACAUUGAAUUAUAUGGCUUUGUUGUAUCCAGGGAUGAUGGGGAAGUACAUGUAGCAUGCCAGGUAGAUUUUGUGGGCCAGGUUGCCGCUGUAGACAGUGCCAAAAUCUUACUGCUGUAGAGAAACUGGCAAGUGAUAGCGACUCCAGUGAAGAAGAUUCUGAUAUUGAUCAUUUUGAUUAUGAUUCUGAUUUUGAUGAAGUUCCUUGUGAUAAAACAAAUAUCGAAGGUACCAUUGAAAUCGACAUUGAUGGUGAUUUAUCUCUGUUUGAAGAUUUGCAGGAAGACUGUUCAGAUUAUGAGUAGGCAUUCUCUGUGUCAUGUUCUUGUAGCCCUUUAAAAUCAUUCAUCAGUCAUUUAAUCAGUCUAUUAUAUGCCAGUAUUCAUUGGCUGCUGUGAGGGUGAAGUUUGUUACAUUGAAUCAAUUCAUGAUAGCUAUUACUUUUAUAUUAUGUACAUGUUUUUUUUAAUGGUUAUAAUUUUUGUUUAAAGAACAUUUAUAAGAAGGCAUGACAGGCAAUGUGGAAAUGUUGGUGAGCAUUUACACAUGUUUUUUAUGCAUGUGAUACCUUUUUAUUUGUAUAUCAUUAAGUGUCUGCAACAUUACACUAUUUCCACAUUAUGCAUAACAGAAGAAGUUGAACUAUUUUUUUUUUCCACAAGUAUGCACAUUUUUCAUAUAUUUAACGUACCUUGCCAUGUUAUGUUUAUUCUUGCUUUUUACUGCAAUACAUAUGAGUCAGUGUAUGUAUACGUUUCUUGCCAGUUCCAUUGAGGUCUUGCAGGUCAAUCAUUUUGGUAGCUGAAAUAAUAGUUGUCGUAGUUGUAUGAAACAAAUGUGAAGUUUCUUACGACAAUUGUGAGGCUUAAGCAGAAUACAUGAUGGUUACAUGUAUUUUGUUAGAUUGGCUAAUUAUUUCAUUAGCAAUAUAUAGAGGUGCAGUACAUGUAUUUCCUCUUGAACUUUGACGCAGCUUUUUUCAAUAUGUGUGUGAUUUACAAUAUCCUAUAAAACAGUUGUGUAUAUUAUUAUUAUUAUUUUGCCCUGUUGUUGCUUUGCUUUUGCUACUUAUGAUUAUGAUUAUGUAAAUGUGUAACUUUUUUUGCUUACAUACAUGUAUUGAACCUUUUGUACAAGUUGUCAUGAUGGUGAGCAUUGAACUACCCUUGUUCCUACUUUUACAUGUACAUUAUAUAUAUUUUCAUGAUCACCUCUUUAUAAAUUGUUUUUCCUUGUCAUUUAGAUAGUGCAUUGUGGCAGUUUCUUGCAGGUCAAUCAUUUUGGCAACUCAGAUAAUAGUUUUUGUAGUUACAUGUAUAUGAAACAAAUGAUAAGUUUCUUACAGCAAUUGUGAGGCUUAAGCUAAAUACAUGAUGGUUACAUGUAUUUUGUUAGAUUGGCUAAUUAUUUCAUUAGCAAUAUAUAGAGGUGCAGUACAUGUAUUUCCUCUUGAACUUUGACGCAGCUUUUUCAAUAUGUUUGUGAUUUACAAUAUCCUAUAAAACAGUUGUGUAUAUUAUUUUACCCUGCUGUUGCUGUUCCUACUUAUGAUUAUGUAAAUGUGUAAAUUUUUUGUUUAUGUAAAUGUGUAAAUUUUUUGUUUAUAUGUUGAAGCACUUGUACAAGUUGUCAUGAUGGUGAGCAUUGAACUACCCUUGUUCCUACUUUUACAUGUACAUUAUGUAUAUUUUCAUGAUCACCUUUUUAUAAAUUGUUUUUUCCUUGCCAUUUAGAGAGUGCAUAGUGGCAGUUUUAACAUCUCAUACACAUGUUAACAAUGGGGACAUUAUUACAGUUGGUGAUACGUAUAUUGACCCCAGUAAUUCCAUAUAUUGUAAUAUGUAUUACCUAGAUAUACAUGUAUGUAAACGUAUGGCUGAAUUAUUUCUUUUAUGAGGCAGUUUUGAUGGCACUGACUUCUGUAUACAAAGAUUAUUUCACUUGUUUCCUGUCAUGACUACCAAAGUAAUUUCACUGAUGACGGGCUUUCCUAAACAAUACAUUCCUUGUUUAUAAAAUUGUUUUAACUCAUAUUUACCUCAACUACUGUCUGCUUGCCAAAGACAUUCAGGGAGCAUUAGAUGUAAAACUGCCUUUAUCUUUAUUAACAUGUUUGAUUGUAAAACAAAAACAGUAUUCACUUAUACUCUCUUCAUGUACUUGCCUUGAAUGAUAUUAGGUGCCAAAGUUUUUUGCUUGUAUUUAUAUGUUUUGUAAACAUGAGUUUCAAGAGUUUGAUGUUGGAAAUAAACUCUUUUUUUCUUGUUAAAAUUGA